ensembl:lncRNA
CGCGCGAGCCGGGGCCGCCCCUCCCUCACCUCAUCCGGGGGCUGCAGCCGGAGGGGAAGCAUCUCCGCUUGGAGACUGCCUCCUUUUGGGGUUUCCAGCGAGCCCUGCUCCUCACGAGGGUUUGCCCACUGGGAUGUUGAUAUCCACUGAGCCCCUAAAAAUCAGCUGAUAGCAGUGUGAGUAAGUUCUGGGGUGCCAAAACCUCACUAAGAAGGUCACAUCUGGAAGAACUGAGAAGCGAACCCCACAGAAUUCAAGAUUGACCUGUGGUGGACUCCACUGUGUUUACUGCCAAUUUGGGAUGAUGCGUUGCUGUAAAGUGCUACCAAUAAAUGGGAAGUUUGGGCUAGCAGGAAAAGAACAGCAUGAUGCAAAACUAUACUCAGACCGGAGUGCUUACCAGUGUGUUUGCUAGACAGAAGGAGGUUUAUUUCCUUCUCAUAAGAGCUGCUAACUGCACUGCAGUGGUGGAAAUGACCGUGAACUUCAGAAUUCAAGAAGGCUGUUCUAAAAAAUACUGCAAAAAGUGUGAAAAUGCUCUAAAAGUAUAGCUGGUCAUCCUAAGUACAAAUGAGAGAUCUACAAGGUGUUAUUCCACCAGAGGAAGAUCCUGUACUCUGCAGUCCCACUACGGACCUGACUGUGGCAGAGGAGGAGCAGCCAUCUACUUACAGGUCAAUUCUGAAAGGGUACUCUGAAGCGCUGGAACAUUUAACUCACAGUGAAGAAAUACUGCCCAGCUUCUGUUCAACAUCAUCGUCAGCCGCUUGGUUGGGCGAUUCUGGCCAGUGCACAAGGAACUGUAGGAGCCCUUCAGUGAUUACAGGACACCACAGAUGGCAUCUGCAAGGCUGAACCAUGGGGAUGAUGCUGCCGUUUUUGCAGGCAAAAGCUAUAGAAAAGUGAAGCAGGAGUCCCAAGAAAAUGCCUGGACUCAUGAGAGCUAAUCACAGCAGGGUCAUAGGAGGCAGAUACGUUUGCAGGACUGAUGCAGAGCUCCAUUGCUCGAGGUGGAUCCUGAGGAAUAGUUGCUAUUUAUUGCAGCCCAAUGUAUUGGAAUUCAAAACCAAGGAGAUCGAUCAUCCUCGCAUCAGAUCUGAGGGCUUCUUAUCAAAUAAAAAAGCCUGCAGCAGCAGAAAGCAGUCCUACCUGCCAAGAUGAAGUGAAGACACAAAAGUGUUUUGAAGAAACAAAAUGGGAGACAGCCAUAGGACACAGGUCUCCUUAUAGUCAUGCCAAAACGUUUGGUACAUAGUAUGCAUUUUUUGCAGUGUGGUGGAACAAAGCAAUUAUUUCACAGCUGAAGGAAAACCAGAAGAUAUUUAAAAAUGGAAAGUUCCCUUCCCAAGCCAUAAUGGAUGACGAUGGUAGUAGAAGUAAUGUAUUCAGAGGGACCAAAACAGGAUAACAAUUUUUCAGAAGCUGAAGAAAUAUAUGAGGGAAGAAGAGAGAUUGAUACAGCAGCAUUGGAACCAGCUUUGUCCUUGGAUUGCAAGGGAAUGGAGAAAUGAGGUGUCUUCACAGAUCUUUCUUAUGUGACCAAGUGGCAGAAAAUGCUGCAGAAAUCUACUUCAGACAGUUAAGUAUUCAGGUUACUGAAAGCUGUGUUUACUAUUUUUAUAUCUAUGGUUGUGAGCUAAGUUUUUUUUUUUUUUUUUUUUUUGCCUGUUCACAUCCUUGCUGCCUGCAGAGCUUCCCAGUUGCUAGGCUGUGUUUAAUAUAUUAUUUUCCCAUUGAGACAUCUAUGCUCCCUGUCACAUCUCUGUUGUCUCUUUUCAGUACUGUAUGAGCCCCAUCUCUGGCUUCUCUAAAUGUUAAAGACCUCUCUUCCAGUUAUUUAUACAGUAUUUAAAAUACGUCCCUUAGUAAUCUUGACUUCAUCAGCCUGACCCCUCUGAACCACCAUUCGCCCUUGGUUCAUCAAAUCAGGUUCAGCCUUCCUGCCUUUAGCUUAGGACAUUUUAAUUCUUUUUUUCUGCAUAAUGUCUGUUUCUGUCUCCUAUAUUGAGAUUUAUUAAAAUUAUUUAGCCAUUUUAAGAUGAAACCGUAUGUCUAGUUGAGUGUUCAAAAUCAGUGACUACCUAAUUCCCCCUGAGACUAACACUCAUUCAUUCUCCUCAUUAACUUAGCAAGAGGACUUAGAGUCCAGCAUUGCAGAUUGUCUCCAGGCUUUCAUGCCUGAACUUCUCUUUCACUGUUGGGGGCAUAGAUCCUUCCUCUUCUGAGGACAACGAAAUUUGGUGUCAUCCAGUCUGUGGAGAAAGUUUGCUGCAACUUGGAACGCUGUUCUACCAAACAAUUCCUUUCUUCCAUCUGCGACACAAUUUUUUAGGGUUUUCCGAUUAAUCCAAAUACUGAAGGUAUUAUAAAGCCACAGAAACUGCUUUAGGCCAAAGAUGGCAAUUACAGCUAAGAGCUAGAGCUAACUGAAAGACUUCCUAUUUUUUAACAUUUUUCUGUGGCUUUUAAGAUCUUUUUGUGUCACUCUGGAAUGAAAACCAAGUGCACAAAGACUUUUGGCAAAAAUGGGACUUCGCAAAAUGGUCAUCUUUGGCUCCAGAAACUGUUUUUCUUCUACUCUCAUCUUCUAGGAAGCCUAUUGUAGAGCUUAGAAAUAAUCCUGUCAGAACUUCAUCAAAGCCAGUAUUUGUUUUCAAAAUGUUCUAGUUUUGGCAUAAUAUUAGUUGGAGAAGAAAGUAUUUAAUCCAAAAUUUUCUGACUAGUUCCAUAAAUGUCAUUACAUUAAUUAGGUACAUAAGUAACAGUAGCUGAAUUAGCUAUGUUUACACAUGUCUAGUCAUCUGAAAGAAUAUGAAGUCAGACAGGACUCAAGGGUUGGCUCAGUAAGUGUCAUAAAUUUUAGUAACCCCUGAUCUUGAUGCUCAGUAGAACACAUCUGUGAACAAAACUAAUUGAAACAUCAAGAAAAAGUCAAAACAAAUGAAAAGCAUUAGCAAAAAAAAAAAAAAAAAAUUAUUAAUUUAGAGCAAUAUGUUAGGGUGAGUGGCAAAUUAAAUCGCUAUCCAAGUCCUGACACAGUUUUUUAUUUGAAACUAUAACGUGAUUAUUGAUCAAAUGAAUUAAUUCUAUUUUGAUGGUAAUAUUAGCUUUUAAGUAACACAUAAACCUAAAAAUAGUUUAAUAAGGCUUCAGGGUCAUCAUCCUCCAAUAUUACUGUAAUCAGGAAUAGUUCCAAUGAAUAUAAUUAUGUUGUAUUCAUGAUACGAUAAAGGCUAUAUAAUUGAAAUCAAAUUUAGAGUUUUUUAAGGUUUUUAUUCAUUAUCUGAUUAGCCUACUACCUCAUAUGAAAGUAGUCAAGUCUUCUGAAUCUUACUCAUGCUGAGUGAAGACAUAUCUGGAUAUCGUGGAUAUUUCUGAGCCAGUUACUAUCGUACUCAUAUACAGUUUCUUCUGUAGUUUCUUUCUGGUUUUGUGUGUGUGCAUGUGCAUUUAUUUCAUAUGACUAAGAACCUCUAUCUAUCUGAAGAAUUGCAGGCUUUGGUUGCUAUUUCUCUACGGAAUGACUGGGAUGGCAUAUGAUGGUGCUUUGCAAAAGGAGCAGAAAUAAGUUAGCCUGAUGAAAUUUGUAGGAGAUGGCAGCAUCUGCUAACUCCAAACUCAGUCCUUGUGUUUGCUUUCGGUUCUUUUGAAACUAGUUUCUUGUGAUGUAUUUUAAAAUACAUAUUGUAGUACAGUUUUUCUCUAAAGCAUGCACUAUCAGAGAAUCACCUCUGAUGUAGAGUUGUCUUUUCAGACUUGCGGAACACAUUUCUUGUUUCUUAGAAUCUUUUAAAAUGUUGGUGUCUAGUACAACCCAAUGCACUGAAAUAUCUUGUAUAUAAUGCUAUUUUCUAAUGAACCGUGAUUCUCUGGUUCUGUCAAGAGUCGUGCUCAUAUUAGUAAAGGCUAAAUAGAGUACCAUUAUGUAUCUAGCAGAGAUAGUCCUUAACAGACUUGUCAAGUCUUAAGCAGUGUGCAUAAAAGAUGAAGCAUCUUGUUACAUCUGAUACCUCCAACUCAAGUGCUCCUAGGAAGUCACUGCCUUCCUCCCUUCUCCAGGACCAUGCAGGCCAGACAUGGCUUCUCACAUCACUCAUGGAGGGCUGGCUCCUUUGCUGCAGUCAUCUGCCAAACUCUUGUUACACUGAGAACCUCACAUCAGAUUAAAAGUUUCAUAGAGAUAUUCAGACAUCAGUCACUCACACCACAUUUCCUGCCCCCACGGCAAUACAACUGUAACCCCCCAGGAACUCUACAGAAUCUGACUUUGUAUAGAAAUUAAUAUUGAUUAGGUAGCACAACUGAAAAAACUUUCUAAAGUGUGCAGUAACAUAUAAAUUAGAAUUCUGUCCCUCCACCAUGUUCUGAACUAACCAUGUUCUGUUGAGAGUGAAGCCUGAAUGGAAUUAGCACUCACAACACUAUGCAGAGCAUAGUUUCAGAUUAAUUUAUAUGAUAUGAUGAUGAAAAUAAAGAAGACACCGACCAAAGUCUUCAGAAAUCCUAUGUUGAAAUAAGGAAAUACCUUUCCAUUUUAAUAAUUGUUGAUAUGGUCAGUGUCAGCUUUUUUAUACAGUAAAGGUAUGAAAGUCUGUGUUGUGUGAUUAGACAUUAAGCACAUUCCUUGAGGGGCGAUUUCAUGGAGUCCCUGAUAUCAGUGGAGCAGUGGCAGCUGUUGGGCUUAACUUUGCCCAGGUUUAAGUACUUUUUUAAUUUGAAUAUGUUGGAGUCUAAAGUAGGAAUGAUCAUUCUUACUUUUCUUAUUCAUUCCAUUUUAUAGGGGCUUAAGAAACUAGGGGAAUCAGGCCCUUUGUGUAAUACAUAUCGUCUUACAUGAUUUCCAAUGAAGGAUAUUUUCAAGUAGGAGCUUAAGCUUAAAAAAAAAAAAAAAAAGAUUAACUUAAUUACUCUUGAGAUAUGGUAGAAUUCCAGUUGGCCACCUGAAUAAACAUACAAUUUUAUCAUUUUUUUCAGUGUUUCUGUGCUGCAGGAGUACAAAAGUACAGAUGCAUCUCAUGAGUAUAUAAUAAAGAGAAAAUAAGCUACCAUACCCUUUUCAAAAGAACUAAUCAAGUACUAAAAGGAAAAUUAAUGCAAAUAAAAUAUUGAUUAAGAACUAAAAGGAUUUUAAUUAUAUUACUUUCAGAAAUAAUUUAAUUUAACCCAAACAGACAACUAAGAGCAGAUAUUUUGCCUUAGCAUUUUUCAGAUUGCUAAUUAAAAUUUCUAGGAGGAAAUUCAAGUUUAGUGACUGGAUUUUAAAGAUAAAUAAUGCUUGCUUCUUUUCAUAAUAGUUUUAUAAAGGUUUACAUAGUGCCAAAAUAUAAUACUGCAUGCACAUUUUUUUAAAAACAAUCAGAUAACCUGGAUGCUCCUUACAACCACUGGGGGUAUCGAGCACUCUUACAUUAAGAAAACUUGAAAAUUAAGUGUGUUAAGGUUAAAUAUCUGUCAUAUGUUUUUUAUGUAGAUUUAUAUCUACAUUGUUUAUGAAAUUCUUUGGAGAUAAUUGCUUUUUGGUAAGAUAAAGGCAAUUAUAGUGAUAGAGCACUCUUUGUGCUUCCAUUGCCACUGAGUAGCAAUUUUACUAUUUAUCUGAAAAGAGAUGUAUCUGAUUCUUUAUUCUCUGCCAUAAUGACUUGAUCCAAAAUCCAGUGAAGUAAAUGGAAAUUGCUCAUCACUCUAUAAUUUUGUAUAGCAUUUGGCUUUCAAUGCCACUGCCUACUUUACAUUGUAUUAUUUAUAAGACUGCUGAUCGCUUACAUAUACACCACGAAAUGGAAUGGGAAUGCAGUAAUACAGAGGCACAACAUUUGGAAGCUUUCUACAAAGAAUCUUUUACAACUACAAAUUCUUCACAGAGUAUUAAGGCAAACUGCUCAGAAUUUAAUUAAGCUCCUUUCAUCUUCUUUAGAUGCAGAGUGCUAAAUUAAAGAGAAAAAGAUGAUACUGAGCUACCUGUCCAAACACUUUAGGCAAAAAAAGGUAUAAUUAACAGUCCUUAACAUUAGAUUAGGGAGCAGUAUCAGAAAAUCCCCUUUAUGCCAAGACAGAGGGCUAGAACAUGCCAUGGGGACAUGACAAGAUUCAGAACCACUCUAAAGAAAAUUGUUACACAGAAGAAUCACGUGUCCCAUUAACCAGUGCUCCCUCUCUUGGGCCACUGUAUGUACACAUCAUAAAGCAUGUGACAUACAACUUCUAUGCAAUUUGAAACAUUUCCUAAAAAUUAUGCAAUGCAUGUCUGUGCUACUAGUCUCACUUUGUUAGUCUGCUCACUAGUCUCACUGGUCUCAAUUUUGAAAUUUUGAUUCAGUUAUAUCCAACUUUUCAACCAACUUGACAAGAGGAUUGAGGGGGUCUCAAAAUAUGAAAAUCAGAAGAGAUAGAAAAUCCCACAGAGCCCCUAAUAAUCUGCAGCACACUUUCGUGAGUUACUAAGUAAUAGGUAAUCUAUAAAACGCAGCAAUGUUGCAACACCAGUCUAUGGAAAGCUUUGGUUUGGUCUCACUUCAUAACACUAGAAACUUGGAAGCACCUAUCUGAGGAAACCAGGCUUCACUACACUGUUGCUUAUGGAAGUAAUUCCUUUUAAGAGAUGAAUAGUAAUUUACACAUUAUUGGAUUAUCUAAUCAACAUAAAAAUGAUUUUACUUGAACACAGGGAAGCUUAGGAGUUUGUCCUCUCCAUAGGCUUUGUCAGAGAUGUAUUAUUGUGCUUGAUGGACUUGAACUGAUAGGGUUGCUUCUCUGUUCCUUUGGCUUAGUCAUGAACAAACAAAAACUAAUUUUGGCCACUCAGCAUUCUGUGAACCAUACAAUCCUCUGCACAUGAUACUUCUGCAAGAGUAAGCUUUAAAAACGAAACUCUUGUUCUCCGUAGGCACUAGAGAUGCAAAUUUGGUGGGACAGAAUCUGAAGGCUAUCUGUCUUCUCAGUUACCCUUUCUGCAACGUAAUAUUUCCUUUGCACUUUGAAGUGGUUGUAUUUAAGCUCAGUUGUGUACGUACAAAAUGAUCUCUGACGAUGAAAGGUAAUAUGAAACGAAAGAAAGACUUUGCAACAUGAAAGGCAUGAAAGAGGAAGAGAAGUAAAGGAGAUGCACUGUUGUUCACCAUUAAUCAUUUCAGCUGGCUACACCUACGUUAAAAAUGCAUGUGCAUGUAUUUACACAACACACAAACAUGCAACGAUGCAAACAGUACACUGCAUGUUUGUUAUGUACAUUGAGUGCAUGUGCGGCUACAACAGAAGUAAAUGAGAAUGAUGCUGAAACAUGAGGUGUAAGCUAAAGGGAACGUUUGAACGGCUGGAUGUUCAGCGAUGUAUGGAGCUGACAUUUGCAAAUCUAAGUUAUAUAUUCUGUUUUCAUUUCUCGACCCUGUCAGCUAAGCAAUCCUUCCACCAGACAGGAAGAAGGAAGAAGGGACAUAAUCCUGAGAGAGCCGAAUGAAUAUAUAUGUUUGCAAUUUCCCUUGAAAUCAGCACAGAAAAUAGGAGUCAACCCUAAAUUCAAAUAAAUCACUGCAAAGACUCACUGACAGUUGCAAGCUGCUUCACCGUACAUAUUCAUUCGUGGCCCUGAGCCAAGCAGAUUCUUUCCAUGCACCUAACGCAGCAAUUACAGAGUCUGGUAAAACUGAGACAGAAAUUGAAAACAGGUUAUUCAUAAAGAAACAAGACGGAAAGUGCCCAAACAAAAAGUGAAAUAGUUCAGAUUCCAUGAAACUGCUUCAUCUGCACACUGCUCAACAGAUCGAAGCUCAGCUUCCGUACUUGGAAGCUUCUGAUGCUUUUGACUUAUUUCCUGGAGAAGCAAUAAACUUGGAGAGCCAUGUUCUUGUUCCUAAUUAUAUAAGAAUUUUACUGCAGGAUGUGGCAAGAAUAUUUUCCUUACUGCAGAGUGUUACAGCUGCAGUCACCAACAGCAGGAUUUCUGUAUACUUGCUCUCAGUAGAUCACUCAAAAUCUACAGUGGAACAAGAGUUACUUGGCCUCCAACAAACAGCUCUAUUUCACUUUCACUGUUAAUUCUGCAAAAAGAUCAGACUCAGCUGUGUGAUCUAUGCUCGUGGGGAUGCAAAGUUUGGAUGCAAAUUUGACAAAACUGAAGAUGGAUGUCUUCUAUUUACAGAAUUACCAUUCCAAUUAAACAACACUUAUUGCCAUUAGUUUGACAUCAGUUCUCUGAGAUUAAACAGAUUCUUGAUUAGGCACGUCCUGAACAAGUGCAAUGCACUGUGCAAGUGUUUUAAUAUUAUGCACCAGUGGAUAUUUUGAAUUGCUCAAUUAAACAAUUCCUAAAUUUAAAAUUAAAAAAUAAAUAAAUAAAUAAAUAAAAGAAGAAAGAAAACUACCCCACAAUGUACAAAAGAAAAGUUAUUAUCGCAUGAUGGCACUUCCUUUGGAGCAAAUGGCAUUGAAAAGCUUACCAGACUAAGACGUACACCUAUGCAAGAUUUACAUUAUGCAAAAUAAUAUCCUAACAGUGGAAGUAUAGGAAGAUAGUAUGAACAAAUCAGUGCUUAACAAGCUAAUCUAUUAAACAUGUUACUUAUGACUUCCAACAGUUUUCAAGCAUGUAAGAUUUUUUUUUUUAAUCUCUGGACAAGAAUAUCUCCAUCAUUUUAUAACCAUAUUAUGAUAUUAUUAUUAUGACAGUGUGACGUGUACUCUCCCUCAUUUUCAUAUGCUUUAUUGUAAUAUUUUCUCAUUUUCUCUGACACUGAUUAUUUUAGUUUACAGUCACAGCCAGAGCACUUGUAAAACUAAAAAUAUUUUUUGUUCUUUAUCACAAUACAGAGAUUAAGUGUAUUUGAAUCCAUCUCCUCUGACAAUCAUCAGCUGAGGAAAAUAGAUCAUUUUUACCUGAUGCACUGAUUAUAGACUGGGUUUCAUAAAACAGCAAGGAAUGUAAUGACCUUUCAACCAUUCUUCAUUGCAGAAGAAAUCAUCAAGUUCUUUAGACUCCAGCAGAGCAUUCAUAAAUAGUAAUGCUUAUUUAAGGUAAUUCAAUGUGCAAUAAAAGAGACAUAGAGAAGAAUCCCCAUUAGAUUGAAUAAACAGAAGGGAGUAAACUCAUGCUGUGUAUUUUUUCAUUUCUAAAUAAUUAUUUAACAUAAUCUGUACAAGAAUUUGAGCUAUCUUCAUUCUCUACUGCAAUACAAUGUAGAUUACUAUAGGAUUGUAAAUAUUGGUCUUCUAAAACUGACACUCACUGUUAUUUAGGGUAAUCAUCCUCCACCCAUCCCCAACCUGAUUAAAGUUUCUUCAGUCUUCCAGCCAUCCCCACCAACUUGGAUGCUUCAGUUUGUGGAUCAUGCACCAUUACUUUAUCAGAAUAAUGCUGAUUUUCACAACUGAACCAAGCAAAUUAUUUGAUAUCUGAUUAAUGAUUCCAUCAAAAUGGAUCUUAUUUCUCUGUCUCAUCAUAAAAUAGAAUUAAUAUUAAGAAAUGUCUGAUUACAUUCGUAAAGAACUACCCAAAUGAACUGUUGAUCUGGACUCUAUAGAAUUCAAAUUCUCCAUACCAUUCUCUCCAUGAUCCUGCACUUCAUGGCCCAAAUUUUCUUCCACCUACAUUAGACUUCCCCUAGGAUAACUACACAGACUUUACUGGAAAUAUGCUGGUAUAAAUCACAGAUAGCAAGAGAUGGACUCUAAAAGAUAUUUAGAAAAGAAAUUGAAGUUCAUUUGACUUUUUAAUAAGAAUAAACAAAAACCCCAAAAUAACACCUCCACUCUAGCUCUGAAUCCCAGCUCUUGAAACAGGAUGUUAUCAAUUCCUUUGAUAAGAAAAGAAAAGAAAGCUGAAUAAACCUAUUAUCUUUUCUGUGUGCCUAUUUUCACUUUGAUGUAAAAUAAAUAAAAAAUGAACUGACAAUUCUAAGAUAUGAA